rnacentral:rRNA from 1 species
UGCCUGUACCAUAACCGACACAGGUGGGUAGGUAGAGUAUACUAAGGGGCGCGAGAUAACUCUCUCUAAGGAACUCGGCAAAAUGACUCCGUAACUUCGGGAGAAGGAGUGCCUUAUUUAUAAGGUUGCAAUAACAAGAUCCAAGCAACUGUUUAUCAAAAACACAGGUCUCCGCUAAGUUGUAAGACGAUGUAUGGGGGCUGACGCCUGCCCAGUGCCAGAAGGUUAAAGAAGUUGGUUAGUGUAUGCGAAGCUGAUGACUGAAGCCCUGGUGAACGGCGGCCGUAACGAUAACGGUCCUAAGGUAGCGAAAUUCCUUGUCGGGUAAGUUCCGACCCGCACGAAAGGCGUAAUGAUUUGGAUACUGUCUCGGAGAGAGGCUCGGUGAAAUAGACUUGUCUGUGAAGAUGCGGACUACCUGCACCAGGACAGAAAGACCCUAUGAAGCUUUACUGUAACUUGAAAUUGGAAUUGGACUUUGCUUGCGCAGUAUAGGUGGGAAGCGUUGAAGAUAUUCUUGCGGGAGUAUUGGAGCUAUCAGUGAGAUACCACUCUUGUAAUGUUAGAUUUCAACUUUGAACCAUAAUCUGGUCAAAGAACAGUUUCAGGUGGGCAGUUUGACUGGGGCGGUCGCCUCCCAAAUGGUAACGGAGGCGUACAAAGGUUUCCUCUGAACGGAUAGAAAUCGUAUCUAGAGUGUAAAGGCAUAAGGAAGCUUGACUGUGAGACCUACAAGUCGAGCAGGGACGAAAGUCGGUCUUAGUGAUCUGACGGUACUGAGUGGAAAGGCCGUCACUCAACGGAUAAAAGUUACUCUAGGGAUAACAGGCUGAUCUCCCCCAAGAGUUCACAUCGACGGGGAGGUUUGGCACCUCGAUGUCGGCUCAUCGCAUCCUGGGGCGGUAGUACGUCCCAAGGGUUGGGCUGUUCGCCCAUGAAAGCGGUACGCGAGCUGGGUUCAGAACGUCGUGAGACAGUUCGGUCCAUAUCCGGUGUAGGCGUUAGAAUAUUGAGAGGAGCCUUCUUUAGUACGAGAGGACCGAGAAGGACACACCGCUGGUGUACCAGUUAUCGUGCCAACGGUAAACGCUGGGUAGCUAUGUGUGGAGUGGAUAACCGCUGAAAGCAUCUAAGUGGGAAGCCCACCUCAAGAUGAGUAUUCUGGUGUAAGGUCACGGGAAGACGACCCGUAAAUAGGCACGAGGUGGGAGUGCAGAGAUGUAUGAAGCCGAAGUGUACUAAUAGACC